UUGCAGUAUUUUGUACAAGAAUUUUGACACUGUUUACAGUAUUGUACAAGAAACAUCCUUCACUGCAAACAUAAAUGUUUCCUCUAGGGUGGAUUCAGGGACUUUGGAUCAGACUGUUAGCCAUGUAACAGCCAGCUCCUUCUGCUCAUCAGUCCUGGCUUGUGGUGGCACCAAAGGAUUAUAUUAAUUUCAUUGAUACUGGUGCUGGCAGUUCAAGCUACUCCUAUUUGCAUCUGUCAGGAGGGAAUUCCAGCUUCUGUUGUGAAAUGCUAGAGCUGCACAUGUCUAGUGCCCAAGGCAUUAUCUACAGCACAGGUAUGGAGAAGUUAACUUGCAGGAAGAGCACAGAGACCCAAUUACCAAUGACACUCUUAAGUGGUGAAGACCUGCAUCUAUCUUCUGUUCCCAAACAGAGCAGAGCAAUCAGAGCUAUACCCCAACUUCAUUUUACCUCCUGGAACAGAGUGAGAAAAUGUAGAGAUGAAUAGCACUCUUCAUACUGGUAGACAAACACUGCCACCCUAGGUCCAAUGUCUGCAAGAAGGGACUAAGUUCUAGCUACUUUCUUGACACUACCUUUCUUGAAGCUCUUAUGUCAGCUGGCUGCUGAGAAUUUGGAGUCCUUCAGUCUGAACAAGGUGGUGGAGGCUGGAUGCUAAAAAACACGGUGCACUUACUGAAUGAAUAGCACAGCUUUGGUUUAAGAAUCUUCAGUUCUUAUAAAAAUACCUUGCCCUGAGCAAGGUUUCUUGUGUUGAAUUUUCUUUAGAGACCAGAGCAGGAAUGGUGUAUAUAUUCAAGAGUUAAUGCACUUUUCUUUGUAUAAAAGCUGUGAUAUAUUCCUUUCUAUAAACAUUUUGCCAUUGGAUCUUAAUCUCUUCUUUCAUGUUGUAAAUAUGGAUUGUAUUAUGGAACACUGAAAUAAUUGCAGAGACUUUGUGGUGCAAUAUACUUUUGAUUAAAACUCUGGAUUUCUUUCUCUUCAAGUUUCAGUUACUUGCACACUGUUCCUAUGUCCAUUGUCCAACUAUAGCAAAGGAUUUAAGCCUCUACACUACCUCUGAAAAUCAAUACAAAUAAGAAAUUCUCUCUUAAGAAUGGG
rnacentral:lncRNA from 1 species